GCAUGGCGUAGCCGAUGGUGGACAGGCGCUGCAGCAGCGCCGUGAAGCGUCCUGGCGCGGCGCGGGCGGUCCAGGCCACCACCAGGCCC
rnacentral:tRNA from 1 species